rnacentral:rRNA from 1 species
GACGAACGCUGGCGGCGUGCUUAACACAUGCAAGUCGAGCGGUAAGGCCCUUUCGGGGGUACACGAGCGGCGAACGGGUGAGUAACACGUGGGUGACCUGCCCUCAGCUCUGGGAUAAGCCUGGGAAACCGGGUCUAAUACUGGAUAUGACUCCAUGACGCAUGUUGUGGGGUGGAAAGCCUUGCGCGGCUGAGGAUGGGCCCGCGGCCUAUCAGCUUGUUGGUGGGGUGANGGCCUACCAAGGCGACGACGGUAGCCGGCCUGAGAGGGCGACCGGCCACACUGGGACUGAGACACGGCCCAGACUCCUACGGGAGGCAGCAGUGGGGAAUCUUGCGCAAUGGGCGAAAGCCUGACGCAGCGACGCCGCGUGGGUGAAGAAGGCCU